AGAGACGUCAAGGUACAUUUCUCCACCAUCUCAUACACCUGCUUUCACAUGUCUUUAUUUUCCAUUUGACCAUGAACAUCACUGUUAUAUUCCAAAUUCUUACAGGGUUAGCCUCACCAAACCACGGGCAAUGACUGUGGUGUCUUCAUACUGAUGUAUGCACUCAACUUCAGCACAGAUGCUCUACUUUGGUUUACCGAGCGGGACAUAGCACAGAUCCGGAAAUGGUGGUGCAUUAUGCUCAUGGAACGGUACCAGAUUGAAGGGUAAAUCAUACAUUUUAAAUGUUACUUUAUAGACAACAGUUUCUUUGACACUGAUUUACAUUUUCAUCCUGAUAUUAUGUGAUUUUUAUAGCCACGGACAGAUCCAGAUUAUUUAACACAUGCAUACAUAUUGAUAAUUGUAUACACAUGUAAUUAAACAAUCACA